rnacentral:lncRNA from 1 species
GCACAAAGCAUUUUUGGGACAGAGAAGUCAUUUCAGCACUUCCAGUUGGGAGCCGCGGGCCGGACGUGGAGGGUCUGCUCCCCAGGACAGCGAGGAAGGGGAGACGGAGCCAUCCCCCGGUGUGUUCACAGCUCAUGGGAAGCUCCCGCACACGUUUGCACCAGGACUCGAGGGGAGCACCGUAGGAAAUGUGACCCAUGGCUGCCCCUCGGGAUGGGGCACGUCGAGGGCUUCAAUGGACCGGUGCUGCCGGCUCCGUGCCUGCUGCUACGCCAGGCUGGCGGCACGGCGCUGCCGCGUGGGACCCGUCCAGCCCUCCUCCGUGCCCCAGGCAGGAGCCCGCAGCUGCAGCUCCGGGACCUGGUGCCAGAGGGGCGCCUGCCGAUGCGAGCGGGCAGCCCUGCUCUGCCGCAUGCGGAGCCGGGGGCAGCUCCGGAGCCGCAGCAAGUGCCGGGGCCGAGGCGGGCGGUGCUGAGGCCGAAGGGCUCCUUGCAUUGAACCUGGCUGAUGGGCGAGCAAGAGCAGCGAGCCCACGGGUCUCCUCCGUGGGGCUUUCUGGCUCCCACACGAGCACGAGCACCCUCUGGGGCAGUUCCAUCCAUGCACACCGGGUCCGAGGAGGGAGAGCAGCUCAGGUGCGAUGUCUCAGCACAGAGAACCAAGGGAGGGGUGGGCACCCGCUCCUCAUGGCUGCGAAGGGCGAGGUGGAAGCCAGAGCAUCUCCCCUUGGCUCCUGCGCAGCCUCUCGGCUCCCUCUGCUUUUCGCUUCCCUGCACGUUCCCUUCGGCUGCUCCCAAAUAAAACCAG